rnacentral:rRNA from 1 species
AUUGAACGCUGGCGGCAGGCUUAAAACAUGCAAGUCGAGCGAGCGGCGGACGGGGGAGUAAUGUCUGGGAAACUGCCUGAUGGAGGGGGAUAACUACUGGAAACGGUAGCUAAUACCGCAUACCAUCAGAUGUGCCCAGAUGGGAUUAGCUAGUAGGUGGGGUAAGAGCUCACUUAGGCUAAGAUCCCUAGCUGGUCUGAGAGGAUGAACAGCCACACUUGACCUGAGACACGGUGCAGACUCCGACGGUAGGCAGCAGUGGGUAAUAUUGCACAAUGGGCGCAAGCCUGAUGCAGCCAUGCCGCGUGUGUGAAGAAGGCCUUCGGGUUGUAAAGCACUUUCAGCGAUGAGGCGUUACUCGCAGAAGAAGCACCGGCUAACUCCGUGCCAGCAGCCGCGGUAAUUC